GACUUAGCUCAGUGGUAGAGCAAUCGGCUGUUAACCGAUUGGUCGCUGGUUCGAGCCCAGCAG
rnacentral:tRNA from 3 species